CUGCUAAUGCGUGUGCCGGGGCAGAGAGGGGCUGGAGGAAGACACCACAUCGUGCUAUGUGACAGAGGGAACUCCCUAGAGAUAGUCAUGCAAACCUGAGACUUCAAUGAACAGAAAGAACCAGUGACUUUGUAGCAAACGCACCAGACUGAUGUUCUUUUUUUUCUUCUUCUUUCUUCCAAUUAUAAAAGGAGUGGACAGAGGGAAUGUACUAGAUGUAAUUUGUUCCAGGUUCAAAAAAGCGUAUUUGUGCCUUAUGAAAUCUUAUGAGAAAAGUGGAAUUCAAAUUGGCUUGGAGAUGAGAGCUGUCAAAUAGAUUGAAAGCUGGAUUAUAAACCAAGACUAAUGAGAGCCUACAAUGUGCGCAAAGUUAGGGAUGGAGUCCAAGAGGAUCGCUACGAGGUCUUACCGGGGAGGUAAUUGCUUAGCCUUUCGGAGUCUUUUCUCCACUAAUAAAAUGAGGACAAGAUUUCUUACCUUCCAUAAGUAUUGUCAUUCGGGUGAGAUUUGUGUACAGAUCAGCAGGAACAUGGUAAGCUUUGAACCCAGGCAGGCUCGUCCUUCCAUAACGAAUGCGAUCUGUACCUACUUUUAGAAGGAGGUGGUGAGAGGUGGUAGGGGAAACUUUGGGAAGCAAAUAAAUGUUCCCAUUUCUCAUCUUCUAGAAGUUGGUUGUACUCUGUUCUUAUUACAAUGGAGUCCCAUCUGACUCAGGGGUUAGAUUCAAAAGCCAUCCCGUGAGGUGAGGAUCACGUAUGGUCAAAACUAUCCUUGAAAAUCCCUGAAGGUGCCUAUAAAAUAUACUACUGUGCUGUCUCUCAAAGAGUUCUCUCCAGCCAGUUCUUCUUCCAGUGUCGGGACGGAUUAAAUUUCUUCUUUUGCAGCCGAGCACCAGGCGACGUCGUUGGCUUGCGCUUUGGGCCACGCUCUACGAAAAAUGCUUAACUUUUGACAUGAAGACGACACCUGGCCUGGAGGGCCGCUCACACCAGAGGGGUGCCCUGGAAGCAGGGCAGGGGCUGGGGCUCCCACGUCAUGCUGACUUCACACCCCUGCCGGGCAG